AAAGCCCAGAGACAAGGGUGUGAACAGUGAUGCUUCCCUGCAGCAGCACAAGCCCCAUCUUGUACAACCUGCACAACCUGAGAGCCAGGAGAGCAAUGAGUGUUUGCCUCUGAGAGACAGCAGCACCUCAGCUACCAAGGCUCUGCCACAGUAAGGGACAGAAG
rnacentral:lncRNA from 12 species